rnacentral:lncRNA from 13 species
CCUCCCAAUCCGACUGCCUGGGCCUCCCAAAGUGCUGGGAUUACAGGCGUGAGCCCCCGCGCCUGGCAACCUCCUCUAUCUCUAACACCUCCAGGAUCAUGGCUUAGAGAGAGUGAAGACCCCGUAGCCACACAGUGGGACACAGGCCUCUGGGUCAGCCCUGGAGCCCCCACCCCAGGCGCUGGCUGCUCGCAGGCCCAGCCUCAUCAUGUGCCCCCGCCCCCCACUGUCCCUGACAGAAGAAGCACCAGGAUUAUUGGCCCAUUUUACAGGCCAGGACCUCAAGGCCAGGUACCCAGGCCAAGUUGCCUCCUGUUUGGGGGUGCUCAGGGCUGGCAAUGGGCAUGUCCACUUUGGGGGGCCUACUCUUCGCUUAGAGAGCCCAAAGCUGGGACGGGGGAGCAGGCACUGACCCCACCUAACCCCUCGGGCUGCCGCCAACAGGUAUCCCAGGAAUGUCCACUUCCGCCAGCCUUCUCUGCAUUCCAGCAGCCCGGCCCCUCCCCUCCCCAACAGGAAUUCCUUCGAGUAAACAUCUGCUCACAGCACCUCUGCCCUCCCGGCCACCCCUACCCAAACCCUAUGGCCUCUGGAAGCACCCCAACAGCACCCCCUUUGCCUGUGUCAUGGGGGUGCCGAAGGCACAGCCAAAAGAAGCCGACUGCCAUGACUUUGUCCCUAUGGGGACUGCCCCCCGCCGCCACAGUCCUUCGUGUCCAGCCUCCCAGGGCCCAGAUCUUGCUCAGAGUGAAGAUCUCGCCUUCCAGCCCUGUGGCCCAAGGUAGGCCUGAUGGCCACAGAGGCAGAGGUGGGGGAUUCGGCAGGCAAAGAAAGGACCCUACCUGGCCCAGGUCCAGGGUGACGUUGACCUCGUUGUACUCCAGGCCACGGGACAGUGGUGGGCUCUGCCACCAGCGCUCCGUGCCAUCGAUGGCAUUGCUGGCAGGGUGUGCCUUGUUGCUGUUGGCCGCUGUGCAGAUAUCACAGUACUGGCCCUGCAGGGGAAUGGAGGGUCAGGAGGCUGAGAGGGGCCAGAGACCCCCUUCCUCCUCCACAGUCACCCUCCUGUCCUGAGAUGAGUCCUGGCCCCACCAAGCGGGUCCCACGCCCAUAGCCUCAGCACCGCUCAUCCACUCACUCAGCAAAGCUCGCUGAGCACCUGCUGCUCCCCGAUUCCGGGGAUGUGGCUCAUGUGAGCGCUGCUCACUGUGCUAAGGAGGAAAGAGGAAGAUGGGGGGGAGAGGGCACCUGCCUCAGGUUGGGAAAUCUCGGUGGGCCUCCUUAGGGUGGCAUCUGAGCCCUCUGUAGUAAGGGGAAGGUACUCUAGGCAGAGCCAAUGCCUGUGCACGGGGCCCUGGAGCAGGAGGAGUCUGAGUAAACCGCAAGGUGCCAGCCUGUCUAGAGCCAAGGGGGCAGAGGGGCAGGAGCAGGGCAAGGCACAGCCACCCUCCCUGCUGGCCCUGCCAGGGGCUCCUAAGGACUUGGACGAAGUACAGCAAGGCAGGGGACGAAGUGGGAGGAAGGUGGCGCUUCGGACAGAGGGGCCAUCAGCUUGAGGAUCCAGGUGGCCAGACCCCACCCCACCUGCAGAUCCUGCCACAGCCGUCCGGAUCCGGGUCUCCAGAGAGACAGAAUUAACCUGUCCUGGCGGCUGGUGGUGCAGGCCUGAGUGGAGGUGGGCCUGGGCCUCCUGGCUGCCACUUCUGAGUCCUGGGAAGGCACCAAGUCACAGCAACCACUGAGCCUUAAUGUCCCCAUCCAAAGAGUGGGGAUAAGCCUGCACCUGCCUGGGGCCACCGUGAGGAUUGGUGGCUCACACACAGGGCCUGGCUACGGCUUCUAUCCCGGGCCAGCACCUGCUGGGGGCCUGUCCUGUGUGGGUGGGUGGGGAACAGGGGAGGCUCCCCGCAGGGUCCUGGCCUGCAUCCUGGCAGGGGAGGGGUGGUGCUGGGAUCCCGGAGUGAGAACAAGGAGAGGGGGCAGAGCUGGGCCUGGCUGCCCCAGUGGAGCUGCCCCCCCGCAGGAGACCAGACCUGCUGUCCCUCCACACAAAGGCACCCUCCCAGACUUGGCA